ACAAAGGGGCAGGAGAUGAGGUCAUCAUAUAGUAACAUGUAUUCAAAGAUCGCCAAGUGGUUCUUUAUCUGUUCGGAUUUGUUGAAUGUUUUUAGGUUUCGAGAGACAUACUGUACUCACGCUGCUUGAGGUUAUGGCGGCUUCUCUUGUCAAUUUUCUUUGCUCCGAAUUGGUACUGUAGAUUGGUCGAUGAAUUACCAACUAGUACUGCAAAGUUUAUCUUGGCUAACGGAGACAGGAUGGAUCAGAAGUUACUGUCGAGCAAACGUCAUGAGAAACAUUACUUGUCCCCAGACCUUGCCCGAGCACCGAACGCUCACAUGACAUAUCAACGAAAGAGUAUUUACUUCUGCUUUUCUUUGAUUCUUUCGUUCACUACCUUCCGUCUCUUGUAAGUCAUGGAUGAACGUAACAGAAACAACCCUGACAUGUUGCGAGAACUUAGCGACACCGAGGAAAGAAUUGUUAGGGGAGAAGUUCACCCCAAUAAUCAGGAAGCCCAGCUGAUGCGUGAAUUCCUGGCUCAAGCCAAGAAGGCAUUGGAUUUUGCCUCAGGAGUGAUAGAUUUAAUGGAACAAAAACUUCCACCUGAACCAGAACCUGAACCUCAACUGGAACCUCAACCUAAGAAGAAGAAAAAGUCUCACUAAAAGAGAGUGUUUAUAGAUAAGCCAAGUUCAACUUGUCCUCCUGAUUUCUCUCACUUGAUUCCUGUUGUGUAGGAGUAUUAUUUAGGUGACCUUUGUGUAGAUCCUGUAGUUUUAGGGACAACUGUCACUACCAUAGCCUUAGUAUAAUAAAUUUUGUAUAGUCCUCCAAUCCAUCAUAAUUUGGGAAAGCUUUUAUUCAGUGGUUCUAUUGGAGUAGUUUGUUGUAGACAAAGCAUUGACAGUCCUCUGGACAAGUAGUUAAGCAUAUCUGUACGUGAAAUUAUUGUUAGACAUGUGACUCUCAAACUGAGUGAAUAACAACUAGUGAAUUUAAUGACCAAAUAGGGGAAAAAGUAAUGUGACAAGUGACCAAAGAUAAAAUUAUCUGAACAGUUAUCAAUAACACUAGGUGUGUCAUAGAAAUUUCCUGUUUGUCUUAGGCAAUUGCUUUGGUUUUGUAUUCUUUAUUUAGACCUUGUGGGACUUUGCAUUCUGGCUUUAUUUAGAAAAAUGUUCUCAUUUAAAUAGCUUUCUGUUGAUAUUAUUUGUUUAGUUUGAUCCUAAGCCUAACAGCAUUUGUACAUGUUUUAUAAGCUUGCUCAUUUUGCUAUUGUUUCCCUAGUGAUUCACUGUAUCACAGCUUGAAUUUCUUUUUCAAUCAUUAGUUGUAAAUAUUUCUCUAAAUUCAGUCUCACUUCGUGCUGAGUCAUCGGCUGUUACUGUUUUUUCUCAUUUUAAACUGGACUAGCGUUUGCUACAUAAUUUUGUUACAGCGUAACUCCUGAUGUUAACCUUUGGUUGUGUUUUUCGUGUGAUGGUUCGCAAAUUUUAUCGCUUUUACUUUUUAAAUUC